GACGAACGCUGGCGGCGUGCUUAACACAUGCAAGUCGAACGGAAAGGCCCUGCUUUUGUGGGGUGCUCGAGCGGCGAACGGGUGAGUAACACGUGAGUAACCUGCCCUUGACUUUGGGAUAACUUCAGGAAACUGGGGCUAAUACCGGAUAGGAGCUCCUGCUGCAUGGUGGGGGUUGGAAAGUUUCGGCGGUUGGGGAUGGACUCGCGGCUUAUCAGCUUGUUGGUGGGGUAGUGGCUUACCAAGGCUUUGACGGGUAGCCGGCCUGAGAGGGUGACCGGCCACAUUGGGACUGGGAUACGGCCAAGACUCCUACGGGAGGCAGCAGUGGGGAAUAUUGCACAAUGGGCGGAAGCCGGAUGCAGCAACGCCGCGUGCGGGAUGACGGCCUUCGGGUUGUAAACCGCUUUCGCCUGUGACGAAGCGUGAGUGACGGUAAUGGGUAAAGAAACACCGGCGAACUACGG
rnacentral:rRNA from 1 species